GCUAUUGAGUAUGAAAAAAAGACGCAUGCUGAAGCCUUGAAUGUAAGCAACUGUUGGAGAAAAGCAUGAAUGAAUUGACUCACGUGAUUGAGAAACAAUGUUCUUAGCUCACUGAUGCGAAAAGAGAGCUCAAGCGGCAGAUGCAGCUAAUGCUUUUGUGGUGGUUGCUCCAAACCCAGGUCCUGUAUAUGCUGGAAACUAUAUAUGGAACUCCUCAGAUGGGAUAUGUGGGAGUUGAACCAAUCAUUAUAUCAUGCAUCUGAUGAUAGAGGAUAUUCUUUGCCGCCUCCCGCCUGGUUUAUUGAGCAUCUUCACCUGUUUUUCAGAAGGGGAAAGGGUGCGGAAAGGGAAGGAAAUCUCAGACUGCUGGUCGACCAAACCUCAAGACAAUAAUAAAG